rnacentral:rRNA from 1 species
UCAAAAACAUGUCUUAUUGAAUUUAUUUUUAAGUCUGGCCUGCUCUAUGAAUUUUAAAUGGCCGCGGUAUUUUGACCGUGCUAAGGUAGCAUAAUCAUUAGUUUCUUAAUUAGAAGCUGGAAUGAAGGGUUUUAUGAAGAAAUUACUGUCUCUAUAUAAUUUUUUUAUAAUUUUAUUUUUUAGUCAAAAAGCUAAAAUUUUAUUAAAAGACGAGAAGACCCUAUAGAGUUUUAUAUAAUUUUGAAUUUUUAAUUAAUUAGUAUUAAAUAUAGGAUUAUUAAUUUUUAUUAUAUUUGAUUGGGGUGAUAGGAAAAUUUGAUAAACUUUUUUUAUUUAUAAAACAUUGAUUUAUGAUUUUUUGAUCCAUUGAUUAUGAUUAAAAGAUAAAAUUACCUUAGGGAUAACAGCGUAAUUUUCUUAGAGAGUUCUUAUUGACAAGAAAGAUUGCGACCUCGAUGUUGGAUUAAAAUAAAUAAUUGGUGUAGAAGCUAGUUUAAUUAGGUCUGUUCGACCUUUAAAAUUUUACAUGAUCUGA